rnacentral:rRNA from 1 species
AACGAACGCUGGCGGCGUGCCUAACACAUGCAAGUCGAACGUGAUUGGAAGCUUGCUUCCAUGAAAGUGGCGCACGGGUGAGUAACGCGUAGAUAAUCUACCUGAUGGAUCGGGAUAACACUUCGAAAGGGGUGCUAAUACCGGAUAAGCCCACGGAGUCCUUGGACACUGCGGGAAAAGGGGGGGACCUUCGGGCCUUCCGUCAUCAGAUGAGUCUGCGUACCAUUAGCUAGUUGGUGGGGUAAAGGCCUACCAAGGCGACGAUGGUUAGCUGGUCUGAGAGGAUGAGCAGCCACACUGGAACUGAGACACGGUCCAGACUCCUACGGGAGGCGGCAGUGGGGAAUUUUGCGCAAUGGGGGAAACCCUGACGCAGCAACGCCGCGUGAGUGAUGAAGGCCCUUGGGUCGUAAAGCUCUGACAGAGGGAAAGAAAUGCAGGGGGGCUAAUAUCCCUUUUGCUUGACGGUACCCCUAAAGGAAGCACCGGCUAACUCCGUGCCAGCAGCCGCCGUAAUAC